GAGUUUGAUCAUGGCUCAGAUUGAACGCUGGCGGCAUGCCUUACACAUGCAAGUCGAACGGCAGCGCGGGAGCAAUCCUGGCGGCGAGUGGCGAACGGGUGAGUAAUACAUCGGAACGUGCCCAAUCGUGGGGGAUAACGCAGCGAAAGCUGUGCUAAUACCGCAUACGAUCUACGGAUGAAAGCAGGGGAUCGCAAGACCUUGCGCGAAUGGAGCGGCCGAUGGCAGAUUAGGUAGUUGGUGAGGUAAAGGCUCACCAAGCCUUCGAUCUGUAGCUGGUCUGAGAGGACGACCAGCCACACUGGGACUGAGACACGGCCCAGACUCCUACGGGAGGCAGCAGUGGGGAAUUUUGGACAAUGGGCGAAAGCCUGAUCCAGCCAUGCCGCGUGCAGGAUGAAGGCCUUCGGGUUGUAAACUGCUUUUGUACGGAACGAAACGGUCUUCUCUAAUAAAGAGGGCUAAUGACGGUACCGUAAGAAUAAGCACCGGCUAACUACGUGCCAGCAGCCGCGGUAAUACG
rnacentral:rRNA from 1 species